rnacentral:rRNA from 1 species
AGCAGCCGCGGUAAUUCCAGCUCCAAUAGUGUAUAUUAAAGUUGUUGCAGUUAAAAAGCUCGUAGUUGAAUUUCGGGGUCAGCAGGUUGGUCGUGCCACUGGUAUGCACUGGUUUCGCUGAUUCCUCCUUUCUGAAGAACUGUAAUGUCAUUAAUUUGGUGUUGCAGGGAAACAGGACUGUUACUUUGAAAAAAUUAGAGUGUUUAAAGCAGGCUAACGCUUGAAUACAUUAGCAUGGAAUAAUGAAAUAGGACGUUUGAUCCUAUUUUGUUGGUUUCUAGGAUUGACGUAAUGAUUAAUAGGGAUAGUUGGGGGCAUUAGUAUUCAAUUGUCAGAGGUGAAAUUCUUGGAUUUAUUGAAGACUAACUACUGCGAAAGCAUUUGCCAAGGAUGUUUUCAUUAAUCAAGAACGAAAGUUAGGGGAUCGAAGACAAUCAGAUACCGUCGUAGUCUUAACCAUAAACUAUGCCGACUAGGGAUCGGAUGAUGUUAAUUUUUUAAUGACUCA